rnacentral:tRNA from 1 species
GCGCCCGUAGCUCAAUUGGAUAGAGCGUUUGACUACGGAUCAAAAGGUUAGGGGUUCGACU